AUUGAACGCUGGCGGCAUGCCUUACACAUGCAAGUCGAACGGCAGCACGGGAGCAAUCCUGGUGGCGAGUGGCGAACGGGUGAGUAAAGUAUCGGAACGUGCCCAGUCGUGGGGGAUAACGUAGCGAAAGUUACGCUAAUACCGCAUACGAUCUAUGGAUGAAAGCGGGGGAUCGCAAGACCUCGCGCGAUUGGAGCGGCCGAUAUCAGAUGAGGUAGUUGGUGGGGUAAAGGCUCACCAAGCCGACGAUCUGUAGCUGGUCUGAGAGGACGACCAGCAGCACUGGGACUGAGACACGGCCCAGACUCCUACGGGAGGCAGCAGUGGGGAAUUUUGGACAAUGGGCGAAAGCCUGAUCCAGCCAUGCCGCGUGCAGGAUGAAGGCCUUCGGGUUGUAAACUGCUUUUGUACGGAACGAAAAGGUUUGGCCUAAUAAGCUGAGCUCAUGACGGUACCGUAAGAAUAAGCACCGGCUAACUACGUGCCAGCCGCCGCCGUAA
rnacentral:rRNA from 1 species